rnacentral:rRNA from 1 species
GACGAACCGUGCGAACGUUGUUCGGAAUCACUGGGCUUAAAGGGCGCGUAGGCGGUCUGCCAAGUCUGGGGUGAAAUCCUCCGGCUCAACCGGAGAACGGCCUCGGAUACUGGCGGUCUCGAGGGAGGUAGGGGCGUGCGGAACUAAGGGUGGAGCGGUGAAAUGCGUUGAUAUCCUUAGGAACUCCGGUGGCGAAGGCGGCACGCUGGACCUUUUCUGACGCUGAGGCGCGAAAGCGUGGGGAGCGAACAGG